UACGGAGGGUGCGAACGUUGUUCGGAAUUACUGGGCGUAAAGCGCAUGUAGGCGGCCUAGCAGGUCGGAUGUGAAAGCCCUCGGCUCAACCGAGGAAGUGCAUUCGAAACCGCAAGGCUCGAGUCCCGGAGAGGGUAGUGGAAUUCUCGGUGUAGAGGUGAAAUUCGUAGAUAUCGAGAGGAACACCGGUGGCGAAAGCGGCUACCUGGACGAGGACUGACGCUGAGAUGCGAAAGCGUGGGGAGCAAACAGG
rnacentral:rRNA from 1 species